AGUCCCGUAGCUCAGCUGGUUAGAGCGCUACACUGAUAAUGUAGAGGUCCCCAGUUCAAAUCUGGGCGGGACUACCA
rnacentral:tRNA from 1 species